GUGCUGGUGGUGUAGGGGUUAAGCGCGCGACCACUUAUAAAGGCUAUAGUCCUCGAUGCUGCUGUCCUGGGUUUGAGUCCCAGACCUGGCGCC